rnacentral:rRNA from 1 species
AUGCAUGAGAGUUGUCGCUGGCCUUCUGGCCGUGCACGCUCCGUCCUUCUUCAUUUCUCCAUCUAUUUGUGCACCUCUUCCGUAGACCCUUUCUGGGGGGUGGGGACUUCCUCAGAUCAUUAGGACUGCUUUGCAACAUCGGUUUGUGGGCUUUCCUUGUUUCUACGUUCAUACAUACACCAGUGUAACGAUUUGGAACGAAAGGAAUUUGAUGCAUAUAAUACAACUUUCAGCAACGGAUCUCUUGGCUCUCGCAUCGAUGAAGAACGCAGCGAAAUGCGAUAAGUAAUGUGAAUUGCAGAAUUCAGUGAAUCAUCGAAUCUUUGAACGCAUCUUGCGCUCCUUGGUAUUCCGAGGAGCAUGCCUGUUUGAGUGUCAUAAAUAUCUCAACCACGCCUCGGUGUGGCUUGGAUUUGGGGCUGUAGUAGUGCAGGCUCGGACUCGUAGUCUGCUCCCCUGAAAUACAUGAGUGGUACCUAACGCGAUGUGAUAAAUUAUCUGCAUCUUAUGAAAAGGUUAUGCCGCUACGUCGU